CGGGUAUCCCUGCUGACUAUUAUCCGGUGCACGUCGUAUUCCAAUUCGCGGCCGCGUCGACGCAACGCGAAGAACCUUACCAGGUCUUGACAUCCCUCUGACCGCUCUAGAGAUAGAGCUUUCCUUCGGGACAGAGGUGACAGGUGGUGCAUGGUUGUCGUCAGCUCGUUUCGUGAGAUGUUGGGUUAAGUCCCGCAACGAGCGCAACCCCUAUUGUUAGUUGCCAUCAUUCAGUUGGGCACUCUAGCGAGACUGCCGGUAAUAAACCGGAGGAAGGUGGGGAUGACGUCAAAUCAUCAUGCCCCUUAUGACCUGGGCUACACACGUGCUACAAUGGCUGGUACAACGAGUCGCAAGCCGGUGACGGCAAGCUAAUCUCUUAAAGCCAGUCUCAGUUCGGAUUGUAGGCUGCAACUCGCCUACAUGAAGUCGGAAUCGCUAGUAAUCGCGGAUCAGCACGCCGCGGUGAAUACGUUCCCGGGCCUUGUACACACCGCCCGUCACACCACGGUCGACGCGGCC
rnacentral:rRNA from 1 species